UAAGGAAUAUUGGUCAAUGGAGGCAACUCUGAACCAGCCAUGCCGCGUGAAGGAUUAAGGCCCUCUGGGUCGUAAACUUCUUUUAUAUGGGAAGAAAUGUUCUGAUUCUUCAGAGCUUGACGGUACCAUAGGAAUAAGCACCGGCUAACUCCGUGCCAGCAGCCGCGGUAAUACGGAGGGUGCAAGCGUUAUCCGGAUUCACUGGGUUUAAAGGGUGCGUAGGUGGGCAGAUAAGUCAGUGGUGAAAUCUUCCGGCUUAACCGGAAAAUUGCCGUUGAUACUAUUUGUCUUGAAUAUUGUGGAGGUAAGCGGAAUAUGUCAUGUAGCGGUGAAAUGCUUAGAUAUGACAUAGAACACCAAUUGCGAAGGCAGCUUACUAUAUAAUUAUUGACACUGAGGCACGAAAGCGUGGGUAGCGAACA
rnacentral:rRNA from 1 species